GGCGCACGGGUGAGUAACGCGUGGAUAAUCUACCCCGAUGAGUGGGAUAACAGUUGGAAACGACUGCUAAUACCGCAUACCCAGCAUAUUUAACUUUAUGUUGUAAAGGUGGCCUCUAUUUAUAAGCUACCGCUUUGGGAUGAGUCCGCGUCUCAUUAGUUUGUUGGUGGGGUAAUGGCCUACCAAGACUACGAUGAGUAGCAGGUCUGAGAGGAUGAUCUGCCACACUGGGACUGAAACACGGCCCAGACUCCUACGGGAGGCAGCAGUGGGGAAUAUUGCGCAAUGGGGGAAACCCUGACGCAGCGACGCCGCGUGUAGGAAGAAGGCCUUCGGGUCGUAAACUACUGUCAGGAGGGAAGAAACUGUUAGGGUAUAAUACGCCCUUUCACUGACGGUACCUCCAGAGGAAGCACCGGCUAACUCCGUGCCAGCAGCCGCGGUAAUACGGAGGGUGCAAGCGUUAAUCGGAAUCACUGGGCGUAAAGCGUACGUAGGCGGCGCAUCAAGUCAGGCGUGAAAGCCCUCGGCUCAACCGAGGAAUUGCGUUUGAAACUGUUGUGCUUGAGUCUCGGAGAGGUUGGCGGAAUUCCAG
rnacentral:rRNA from 1 species